UACGUAGGGGCAAGCGUUGGCUCGGAAUCACUGGGCGUAAAGGUGCGUAGGCGGGUCUUUAAGUCAGGGGUGAAAUCCUGGAGCUCAACUCCAGAACUGCCUUUGAUACUGAAGAUCUUGAGUUCGGGAGAGGUGAGUGGAACUGCGAGUGUAGAGGUGAAAUUCGUAGAUAUUCGGCGGAACACCAGUGGCGAAGGCGACACGCUGGGCCGUACCUGACACUGAUGCGCGACAGCAUGGGGAGCAAACAGG
rnacentral:rRNA from 1 species